rnacentral:rRNA from 1 species
GAUGAACGCUGGCGGUGUGCCUAAUACAUGCAAGUCGAGCGAACAGACGAGGAGCUUACUCCUCUGACGUUAGCGGCGGACGGGUGAGUAACACGUGGAUAACCUACCUAUAAGACUGGGAUAACUUCGGGAAACCGGAGCUAAUACCGGAUAACAUGUUGAACCGCAUGGUUCAACAGUGAAAGACGGUCUUGCUGUCACUUAUAGAUGGAUCCGCGUCGCAUUAGCUAGUUGGUAAGGUAACGGCUUACCAAAGCAACGAUGCGUAGCCGACCUGAGAGGGUGAUCGGCCACACUGGAACUGAGACACGGUCCAGACUCCUACGGGAGGCAGCAGUAGGGAAUCUUCCGCAAUGGGCGAAAGCCUGACGGAGCAACGCCGCGUGAGUGAAGAAGGUCUUCGGAUCGUAAAACUCUGUUAUUAGGGAAGAACAAAUGUGUAAGUAACUAUGCACGUCUUGACGGUACCUAAUCAGAAAGCCACGGCUAACUACGUG